GACGAACGCUGGCGGCGUGCUUAACACAUGCAAGUCGAACGGAAAGGCCCUGCGUUUGUGGGGUGCUCGAGUGGCGAACGGGUGAGUAACACGUGAGUAACCUGCCCUUGACUUUGGGAUAACUUCAGGAAACUGGGGCUAAUACCGGAUAGGAUCUCCUGCUGCAUGGUGGGGGUUGGAAAGUUUCGGCGGUUGGGGAUGGACUCGCGGCUUAUCAGCUUGUUGGUGGGGUGGUGGCUUACCAAGGCUUUGACGGGUAGCCGGCCUGAGAGGGUGACCGGCCACAUUGGGACUGAGAUACGGCCCAGACUCCUACGGGAGGCAGCAGUGGGGAAUAUUGCACAAUGGGCGGAAGCCUGAUGCAGCAACGCCGCGUGCGGGAUGACGGCCUUCGGGUUGUAAACCGCUUUCGCCUGUGACGAAGCGUGAGUGACGGUAAUGGGUAAAGAAGCACCGGCUAACUACGUG
rnacentral:rRNA from 1 species